UUGAGCUGAAAACACAAACAAACUUCUCCCGCCACGGCUUUCCCGACACUGCGGCUCCGGUGGCUCCGGCUCAGCGGGAAGCCCUGGAGCCUCACUUCUCCUACCCCUUAUUAGUAGCAGCAGUGCAUCGCUUUGAUUUCCCUCAAAAACGGAAAACUGCUCAAAACCUUUGUGGAUAAGUGGGGGAGGGGAGAGAUUUCUGACAGAGAACUUCAAAAACUCAGAGCAGGAUAAUGAGAAUCUUUUCUUCUCCAUCCAGACAAACUUUAUGAUUGACAGAUCAUGACUUGGGAGAACAACAAGGGGUCAUCCUCACAGCCAGAAGAGCUGCAACAACAUAAAUCCCAAAGCAGAUUUUUGCUGGAGACUGCAGAAUAAUCAUCUGUGUUAAGGAUGGAGUCCUCUGGGAAUUCUUUUCCCCAUGUGUAGAAACCUCC